CGAAUCAAACAUCCACGCAGCACCAACCUCUCCAACAAAUCUCAUGGCGUCCUCCGGUUUUCCGGCCCUUCCCAUCGAGAGUAAGUUCGGCCAACAAUUGGCCUCUUGUAAUCGGC
rnacentral:ribozyme from 1 species